rnacentral:rRNA from 1 species
CCUACGGGAGUCAGAAGUGGGGAAUUUUGCGCAAUGCUCGUAAGAGUGACGCAGCGACGCCGCGUGAAUGACGAAGGCCUUCGGGUCGUACAGUUCUUUCGACAGGGAAGAAAAUGCCUAUAAGUAACUGUGUAUGUAUUGACGGUACCUGUAUAAGCAGCCCCGGCUAACUCCGUGCCAGCAGCCGCGGGAAUACGGAGGGGGCGAGCGUUGUUCGGGGUGACUGGCCGUAAAGCGCUCGUCGGCGGUAUGUCAAGUAAAGGGUGAAAUCCCCGCGCUCAACGUGGGAACUGCCUUUGAAACUGGCAAACUGGAGUGUGUGAGAGGAUAGUGGAAUUCCAGGUGUAGGAGUGAAAUCCGUAGAUAUCUGGAGGAACAUCAGUGGCGAAGGCGACUAUCUGGCACAUAACUGACGCUGAGGAGCGAAAGCGUGGGUAGCAAACAGGAUUAGAUACCAGUGUAGUC